rnacentral:rRNA from 1 species
UACAGGGGGGGCAAGCGUUGUUCGGAAUUACUGGGCGUAAGGGUUCGUAGGUGGCCACUUAAGUCAGACGUGAAAUCCCUCAGCUUAACUGGGGAACUGCGUCUGAUACUGGAUGGCUUGAGUUCGGGAGAGGGAUGCGGAAUUCCAGGUGUAGCGGUGAAAUGCGUAGAUAUCAGGAGGAACACCGGUGGCGAAGGCGGGGUCUCUGGGCAGUAACUGACGCUGAGGAGCGAAAGCGUGGGGAGCGAA